UCUCAAGCUAAAGAAAGGAAAGAAAAGAAAACAAAUGCACAAAAUUGACUUCUUGGAAACAAACACUGAUGUCUGUCCGCUCUCUCCCGUCGGGUCACUUGCUCAUGGCUGUUCUACAGCUGUCGGUUAUUGAGCCCCAUCCCCACCUCCGGGCAGAUGCCCUCUGUCCUAGAGCUGCACGCUGCCCCUCUACUCCCAGCUCGGUGGCACUCGGCAGAAUGACGUCUUCCACUGGCCGGGGGGCGGCAGACCGUGUGACCAGACGCCACAAAUCCGUCAUCUCGGGUGGAAAAUCCCCCCAGGACACACGUGGCCCUCCCCUGUCCUUAGACCGGUUAGCCACCAUCGUGGGCUGAAAAAUGCUCCCGCCUCCAGAAUCCCUGGAACCUGUGAAUGGCACUUGAGAUGGCAAAGGACUGAAUGUUCUCUUCCAGGGUGAGAGAGGUGGUGGAGCUGAGGAUCUGCGGAAGAGGAACUUAGCCUGCAUUAUCCAGGCGGACCCUGAGCACAACCACGUGUGUCCUUCCUUCCAGAGGGAUCGUGGCUCUGCCAGUACCUUGAUUUGGGGCUUCUGGCCUCCAGAACUACAAGAGAGUACGUCUCUCAUGCUUUAAGCCACCAAGUUUGUGAUCGCGUGUUACAACAGCAUCAAGAAAUGAAUAGAGCUUCAUACAAAAAGAUCUGCCUGCGCCCGGCGUUUCAUGUGAAUGGAAGCCUACCGCAUGUGGUCGGCGGUGACUGGCUUCGUUCACUUAACAACGUUUUUAAGGGGGCAAAUCUACAUUUUGUUGCAAGCAAUGCCUAUUAUUCCCAGUGACUUGGAGGCCCUUCUUCCCCAAAGGGGAAGGAAAUGCAUUUAAACACAAGGGAAAAUUGCAAGUAACAGGAAGGCUGGCAGAGAUCUCCACCAUCUGGCUCUUCCUCGGGCAAGUUCACCUACUGACGGAGUUUCUCGGUCUGAAACCCUGUCACCAUCUGCAAGGCCUGAUUUCUAGAUGAGCGCUUCAUUGGUCGAAGGCUGAGCAACCCCCUGAAAGGGCUCAAACAACUCUGACAGCUUCCCUCCUUCAUCUCUGACACAAUCAGCUACUGCGAAUGUGUUCGGUCUGACCUAGUUUUCUUGUCUUUAAAAAGAAAUGGGUGAUUCAUUUGUUGCAGCCUGUCGGGCUGGUCACGGAGAGGGAGCAGUGCCACCGACAUGUAACCCAUUACCACAAAUCGGGGCUGGUCACUGGACUUCUCGGCCUGUCACAGAUGGCUGUCAGUCUUUGCAGACUGGCCCAACCCUUAGCUAUGCCUCCCCUGGUCACCUGCCCAGUGUGGCUGGACUGAGGUCAAAGCUCUGGGGUUGUGCCUACUGUAGAUGAAGAUGCUAGAAGGCCCUAGGAUAGUCUUAAACACCCUAAACAUAGUCCUAACUGCAUGGAAACAAGGAUGCAGUGUUAGAAUACCUGGGUCACAGACUCUAUUCUGCCACUUUCUAGGCACACAGCUUUGGCACGCUAUCUUCCAUGGAGCCUUAAGGGCCCCAUUUGUGUAACGGUAAUAAUAAUAUCUGCCGUAUAGUAUUGUUUUGAGCAUUAAAGGCAUUGAUGCUUUGUACAAAGAGCCCAGCACAGUCCCAGACCACACACAGCAUCAGUGCUGAAUGUGUAUGAUACACACGUAACCAUGAGUAGCGAUGUUUGAUUCGUAUAUGACUGUUGGCAUUGAUGCGGGAUACACACAGAGCCACUGGUAAUGACGUGUUGACACACGUAUAAUCGUUAGUACUGAAGAGCUGACCCCCGCCCAGCACCCAGUGGAGACACUGAAUCCAUACAUUUUCCCUUGUCCCUUCUCCAAUUUUCCUCUACAGUAAUGAAUGGUUUGUUAGUGUAUCCGGUAAGAAAAACAAAUUAUUUUAUCUAAGGUCUCAUGAAAAGAAAAAAAAAAAAAGUCUUUGGGGGGGAAAAAAAAGAUGUAAGAUUAUUGUUUCAACGUUUAUUUAU